AGGACGAACGCUGGCGGCGUGCUUAACACAUGCAAGUCGAACGGUGACCUCGGAGCUUGCUCCGGGCGAUCAGUGGCGAACGGGUGAGUAACACGUGGGCAACCUGCCCCUGGCUCUGGGAUAACCCCGGGAAACCGGAGCUAAUACCGGAUACGAGACCGAUAGGCAUCUAUACGGUCUGGAAAGUUUUUCGGCCAGGGAUGGGCUCGGCGGCCUAGUCAGCUUGGUUGGUGGGGUAAUGGCCCACGAAGGCGACGGACGGGUAGCCGGCCUGGAGACGGGCGAUCCGGCCACACGUGGGACUGACGACACGGCCAGACUCCGUACGGGAGGCAGCGAGGUGGGAACUGUCGCGACAAGUCGGGACGAAGCCGUAGACCGG
rnacentral:rRNA from 1 species